CUGUGUCUCACACGGCGAGACCGCGGACGGCUCAUUAAAUCAGUCGUGGUCCAAAUGGGCCAGUGCAAAUCCUACUUGGAUAACUGUGGUAAUUCCAGAGCUAAUACAUGCAACUGAUAUCCCGAAGGUGGCGUUUGUGCUUGCUUGCCUUGCGCUCUCGCUGCUCUGACGGAUGCUUUUAUUAGACCAAGCCGCUGAGGACUUGGAGGCAACUCCUUGUUCGACUCGUAUAAUGGUGACUCUGGAUAACCAAAUUCUGACAAGCGCACGUACUUCUCUUCUGAGCGAGACGGCGCUGCCACUUUCGAGUGUCUGCCUUAUCAGCUAUCAACCGUUCGUUAUGCGCGACCGAUGGCUUUGACGGGUAACGGGGAAUCAGGGUUCGAUUCCGGAGAGGCAGCCUGAGAGACGGCUACCACGUCCAAGGACGGCAGCAGGCACGCAAAUUACCCAAUCCCAGCAAAUGGGGGAGGUAGUGACGAAAUCUAACGAUGCGGGCGCCCUUUCUGGGGCCCCGCAAUCGGAAUGGGCACUUUCUAAACAACCUGUUGAGAACCUACUGAAGGGCAAGUCUGGUGCCAGCAGCCGCGGUAAUUCCAGCUUCAGCAGCAUCUAUUAAAGUUGCUGCGGUUAAAAGGCUCGCAGUUGAAUGUCUGUAUCGAGCGCAGGUCAGGUGGACGUU
rnacentral:rRNA from 1 species